rnacentral:sRNA from 1 species
UGCGCCUGUGGCGGGUGCAGCGUGAUCUGUGAGAGAGGUUUUGCAGGCAGCCUGAUCACGUACCACCUGGUAUCGUAAGCACAGCUUACUUCAAAGCUGUU